rnacentral:rRNA from 1 species
CCUACGGGUGGCAGCAGUGGGGAAUAUUGGGCAAUGGAGGCAACUCUGACCCAGCAACGCCGCGUGAAUGAUGAAGGUCUUCGGAUUGUAAAGUUCUUUUCUAAGGGAAGAAGAAAGUGACGGUACCUUAGGAAUAAGCCUCGGCUAACUACGUGCCAGCAGCCGCGGUAAUACGUAGGAGGCAAGCGUUAUCCGGAAUGACUGGGCGUAAAGGGUGCGUAGGUGGUUUGAUAAGUUGAAUGUGUAACCCCGGGGCUCAACUACGGAACUACAACCAAUACUGUUGGACUCGAGUGCAGGAGGGGCAAGUGGAAUUUCUAGGGUAGCGGUGGAAUGCGUAGAUAUUAGGAAGAACACCAGAGGCGAAGGCGGGUUGCUGGACUGUAACUGACACUGAGGCACGAAAGCGUGGGGAGCAAACAGGAUUAGAUACCCCAGUAGUC